rnacentral:rRNA from 2 species
UGCCCUAGUAACGGCGAGUGAAGCGGCAACAGCUCAAAUUUGAAAUCUGGCGUCUUCGGCGUCCGAGUUGUAAUUUGCAGAGGGCGCUUUGGCAUUGGCAGCGGUCCAAGUUCCUUGGAACAGGACGUCACAGAGGGUGAGAAUCCCGUACGUGGUCGCUAGCCUUUACCGUGUAAAGCCCCUUCGACGAGUCGAGUUGUUUGGGAAUGCAGCUCUAAAUGGGAGGUAAAUUUCUUCUAAAGCUAAAUACUGGCCAGAGACCGAUAGCGCACAAGUAGAGUGAUCGAAAGAUGAAAAGCACUUUGGAAAGAGAGUUAAAAAGCACGUGAAAUUGUUGAAAGGGAAGCGCUUGCAGCCAGACUUGCCUGUAGUUGCUCAUCCGGGUUUUUACCCGGUGCACUCUUCUAUAGGCAGGCCAGCAUCAGUUUGGGCGGUUGGAUAAAGGUCUCUGUCAUGUACCUCCUCUCGGGGAGAACUUAUAGGGGAGACGACAUGCAACCAGCCUGGACUGAGGUCCGCGCAUCUGCUAGGAUGCUGGCGUAAUGGCUGUAAGCGGCCCGUCUUGAAACACGGACC